CACUCCUACGGGAGGCAGCAGUGGGGAAUAUUGGACAAUGGGCGCAAGCCUGAUCCAGCCAUGCCGCGUGAGUGAUGAAGGCCCUAGGGUUGUAAAGCUCUUUCACCGGUGAAGAUAAUGACGGUAACCGGAGAAGAAGCCCCGGCUAACUUCGUGCCAGCAGCCGCGGUAAUACGAAGGGGGCUAGCGUUGUUCGGAUUUACUGGGCGUAAAGCGCACGUAGGCGGACUAUUAAGUCAGGGGUGAAAUCCCGGGGCUCAACCCCGGAACUGCCUUUGAUACUGGUAGUCUUGAGUUCGAGAGAGGUGAGUGGAAUUCCGAGUGUAGAGGUGAAAUUCGUAGAUAUUCGGAGGAACACCAGUGGCGAAGGCGGCUCACUGGCUCGAUACUGACGCUGAGGUGCGAAAGCGUGGGGAGCAAACAGGAUUAGAAACCCCAGUAGUCCCAUGAU
rnacentral:rRNA from 1 species